rnacentral:tRNA from 1 species
GCCGCUGUGGUGGAAUGGCAGACACGCACGACUCAAAAUCGUGUGGGGCAACCCAUGUCGGUUCGACUCCGACCAGCGGCACCA